AAUGAGCUGGUCAUUGUCGAUGGCUGUUAUGCAGCCAACAAACAUAUGAAAAAAAGCUCAUCAUCACGGCUCAUUAGAGAAAUGCAAAUCAAAACCACAAUGAGAUACAAUCUCAUGCCAGUUAGAGUGGCAAUUAUUAAAAAGUCAGGAAACAACUAGUGCUGGAGAGGAUGUGGAGAAAUAGGAACACUUUUACCCUGUUGGUGGGAGUGUAAAUUAGUUCAACCAUUGUGGAAGACAGUAUGGCAAUUCCUCAAGGAUCUAGAACCAGAAAUACCAUUUGACUCAGCAAUCCCAUUACUGGGUAUAUACCCAAAGGACUAUAAAUCAUUCUACUGUAAAGAUACAUGUGCAUGUAUGUUUAUUGCAGCACUGUUCACAAUAGCAAAGACUUGGAACCAAUCCAAAUGCCCAUCAAUGAUAAACUGUAUAAAGAAAAUGUGGUACAUAUACACCAUGGAAUACUAUGCAGCCAUAAAAAAGAAUGAGUUCAUUUCCUUUGCAGGGACAUGGUUGAAGCUGGAAACCAUCAUUCUCAGCAAACUAACACAGGAACAGAAAACCAAACACUGCAUGUUCUCACUCAUAAGUGGGAGUUGAACAAUGAGAACAUGUGGACACAGGGAGGGGACCAUCACACAUUGGAGCUUUUGUGGGGUGGGAGGCUAGGGGAGGGGUAGCAUUAGGAGAUAUACCUAAUGUAAAUUAUGGGUUGAUGGGUGCAGCAAACCACCAUGGCACAUGUAUACCUAUGUAUAAAACCUGCAUGUUCUGCACAUGUAUCCCAGAAUUUAAAGUAUAAAAAGAAAAAAUCAGACUGCACAGGGUUCCUUUCCUGGAUUGAAACUUGCAAGAGAAAGAUGAAAUAAAAUUCAAAGGUGUGUUUUGUUUCCUACACUUUGAUUUUUGUUCGUGGAUUUAUAAAGGACCCCUCUUUCAUGUAGCCAACAUUUAUUUAGAAGCUAACAUUUAGAAGCUAUGAAAUUAAAAGAACUCUUCCACACACGGCUCAGGCAAGGAGCCAGUUUAUGAAAAAUCCAACAAACAAAGGCAUUUUGUAAACUUAAAAUAUAGAAAAAUAAAUCUAG
rnacentral:lncRNA from 10 species